ACAACAUUCAGACCGUCAGUCUACCGAGCAAUAUCAUCCGCUCGGUGGAAGAUCUUCCUUUCGUCGU
rnacentral:pre_miRNA from 1 species